GACGGAGGAUGCAAGUGUUAUCCGGAAUCACUGGGCGUAAAGCGUCUGUAGGUGGUCAAAUAAGUCAACUGUUAAAUCUUGAGGCUCAACCUCAAAACCGCAGUCGAAACUAUUAGACUAGAGUAUAGUAGGGGUAAAGGGAAUUUCCAGUGGAGCGGUGAAAUGCGUAGAUAUCGGGAGGAACACCGGUGGCGAAGGCGGCGACCUGGUUCGAUACUGACACUGAGGUGCGAAAGCGUGGGGAGCAAACAGG
rnacentral:rRNA from 1 species